GAUGAAGAACGCAGCGAAAUGCGAUACGUAAUGUGAAUUGCAGAAUUCAGUGAAUCAUCGAAUCUUUGAACGCAUAUUGCGCUCUCUGGUAUUCCGGAGAGCAUGCUUGUUUGAGUAUCAGUAAACACCUCAACUUCCAUAUCUUUUUUGAAAUGGGAGUUGGACUUGAGUGAUCCCAACGCUUUUCCUCACCGAAAAGUGGCGGGUUACUUGAAAUGCAGGUGCAGCUGGACUUUUCUCUGAGCUAUAAGCAUAUCUAUUUAGUCUGCCUAAAAAACAGAUUAUUACCUUUGCUGCAGCUAACAUAAAGGAGAUUAGUUCUUGUGCUGACUGAUGCAGGAUUCACAAAGACGGCUUCGGCCGACUUUGUAAACUCGAUCUCAAAUCAAGUAAGACUACCCGCUGAACUUAAGCAUAUCAAAAGCGGAGGA
rnacentral:misc_RNA from 1 species